GACGAACGCUGGCGGCGUGCUUAACACAUGCAAGUCGAACGGAAAGGCCCUGCUUUUGUGUGGUGCUCGAGUGGCGAACGUGUGAGUAACACGUGAGUAACCUUCCCUUUACUUUGUGAUAACUUCAGGAAACUGGUGCUAAUACCGGAUAGGUGCUCCUGCUGCAUGGUGGGGGUUGGACAGUUUCGGCGGUUGGGGAUGGACUCGCGGCUUAUCAGCUUGUUGGUGGGGUAGUGGCUUACCAAGGCUUUGACGGGUAGCCGGCCUGAGAGGGUGACCGGCCACAAUGGGACUGAGAGACGGACCAGACUCCUACGGGAGGCAGCAGUGGGGAAUAUUGCACAAUGGGCGGAAGCGUGAUGCAGAAACGCCGCGUGCGGGAUGACGGCCUUCGGGGUGUAAACCGCUUUAGCCUGUGACGAAGCGUGAGUGACGGUAAUGGGUAAAGAAGCACCGGCUAACUACGUG
rnacentral:rRNA from 1 species